rnacentral:rRNA from 1 species
UACGGGAGGCAGCAGUCGAGGAUCUUUUGCAAUGCACGAAAGUGUGACAAAGCGACGCUGCGUGGAGGAUGAAGGCUUUCGGGUCGUAAACUCCUGUCAUUCGGGAAAAAUAUGCUGGGUAGUAAUACUGCCUGGAAUUGAUGGUACCGAAAGAGGAAGCCACGGCUAACUCUGUGCCAGCGACCGCGGUAAU